rnacentral:lncRNA from 1 species
CCAGACUGGGUCCUACAUAACAUUUAGCUGGGUUACUCUUCUGAGCCUCAGUUUCCUCAUCUGUAAAAUGAGAAUAACAGCAUUAGCCUCGUCUAUUUCCUAAGGACAGUUUGAGGCUCAGAAGAGAAAAGAGCAAUGAGUGUGCUUUGACAUUGUCCACCAAUAGAUACAUGUAAGGGAUUAUACUAGUCGACUGUAGUACUUCUUGACCAGGGCUCCCACCACAGCCUUCCACCUCUACUUCUAGAGUGUCAGGGGGAGAUCUGUGUCCCAGGAAAGGCAGGUCAAUCACACAACCAUUCACUUUGUAUUCAACCACCAUCUACAGAGAGCCUACUGUGUGCCGGGCACUGAGCAUAGCGAGAUGAAAAACCAGCCUGCCCGCAAGGACUCCAGAGGUCUACUGCAGCCCAUGAGAAGGACACACUUUGGAUCCUGUCUCCACGGUUUGAAACGAAGAAAAAGCAACUGCGCAAACAAGCUCAGACUAGCGGAGGAGACAAGUGAGUAAACUGAGCCCUGUGAACAGGAAGGGUGACUGCGCAGCCCAGAGCGUGCGCUUAAGGGAAGGCGGCAGAGCGAGGUCAACAGAGCGGGGCAGGGGGAGGCCCACGGUUGCCGACGCCCCUUUGGUUCCUGCGACCCCCAACCCGGCCCCUCAAGGUCCCAGCUUCCUCUGGCCCCCGCAGCCCAAGUCCCUGCACCCCACGGCGCUCGCAUCCCCAGAUUCCCGCCCCCGAUCGCCUCGGUGCCCGCGUCCCCGCGCAGGCCUUCCGCGCCGGAGGCUCGUUCUCCCUCUCCCCCGCCCCGCUCCCCGCCCCGCUCCCCCGCCCCGCUCCCCGCCCGAGCCGCCGAGCCCCGGGCCUGGGCUGAGGCCGCAGGAGACGCCGGGCGCGCCUUUCCUCGCCCGGGGGCGGGCACCGUCCGCGGACCACCGCCCCGAACUCUUGGCCCGGCGCCGGCCUCCUUCCCGCCGGGGCGGGAGCGCGGCCUCCGCAGCCCUGGCCCCAAAGGCACCGGGUCCUGGGAGGGGCCGGGUGGGCGAGGGAGAAGAGCUCCCGCGCGAGAAGGCCUUAGAACGGGGCCUGGCACCGAGGAAGCGCUCAAUAAGGCAUUUUGGCUGUGGUGCUGAUCAUGGGCUUCUUCCAGAAAUUUGUGACAGGUGGCAUCUCUGA